rnacentral:rRNA from 1 species
UACGUAGGGGCUAGCGUUAUCCGGAAUUACUGGGCGUAAAGGGUGCGUAGGUGGUUUCUUAAGUCAGAGGUGAAAGGCUACGGCUCAACCGUAGUAAGCCUUUGAAACUGGGAAACUUGAGUGCAGGAGAGGAGAGUGGAAUUCCUAGUGUAGCGGUGAAAUGCGUAGAUAUUAGGAGGAACACCGGCGGCGAAGGCGGCUUGCUGGACGGCAACUGACGUUGAGGCUCGAAAGCGUGGGGAGCAAACAGGAUUAGAUACCCUGGUAGUCCCUGAGCGGGCU